UUUUGACCUCGAAUCAGGUGGGACUACCCGCUGAACUUAAGCAUAUCAAUAAGCGGAGGAAAAGAAACUAACAAGGAUUCCCCUAGUAACGGCGAGUGAAGUGGGAUGAGCUCAAAUUUAAAAUCUGGUAGUCUUUGGCUGCCCGAGUUGUAAUCUAGAGAAGUGUUUUCUGUGCUGGACUGUGUUCAAGUUUCCUGGAUAUGGAACAUCAUAGAGGGUGAGAAUCCCGUCUUUGGCACAGACUCCCAGUGCUCUGUGAUGCACUCUCAACGAGUCGAGUUGUUU
rnacentral:rRNA from 1 species